GAUGCCUUUUGUCAUCUUUCUUGUGGCCCUAAGCUCCUCUUUACCUUUUCCGGAACCCUUCGGUUCUGAAAGUGGCCUAAGAUGGUCAAUGAACAGUGCCUCAAAGGCAGCUCUGUUUUUCCUUCCUCAGCUCCAAAGACUUUUCCACCAGGUUCUGAAAGACUUGACACAUAAUGCAGUGAGCUGGCUGGUGGUGGAGACUGCAGGGUUCUACUGACCAGUUCCAGAUGGGCAUGCAUUCUGAGACUUAGUUGGAGAGCACACUGACAGCUGCACUCCCAGAAAGCCUGUGCUGAGGCCAGGUCUGAGGGCCUGGGUUUGAACUUGGAGUCCGUCGGGCCCCAAUUGUUAUCUUCACAGCCACAUCAGCUGGGUGACCUCAGCCAAAUCAGUCUACCUCUGCUCUUGUUUUCUCAUCUGCAAAAUAGAGCUGCGGAUGCCUGCCCCAGGUUGCUGGUGGAGAUCAAGUGAGAGAGUGGAUUGAAAACAUCUUUACAAAGGCCAGGUUUGGUUUUGGAUGUGGGUGCCAACUGCCUACCCUGAAGUCAAAGACCGUCUGGGAAGAGAAGUUCUCUUUGCCUUUCUCCCACGACGAGCGUGUUGCUGAGUUAUUUCCAGGAGCGUGGGGCCACAGGAUUGGCAGCUGCAUCCAACCUCCAGGUCAAAUUUGGCAGAGAACCAAGCAAUCCUGUCAAACAGAAUGCCCACUGCUGCUCCUUCCCAUCUCGAGGAACUGUCUCUUCUCAAUGUUUUCUUUUGAUUUCCUCUGACAGUCUUGCUGCUCUUCCAGAGGCACAGGAACUCAAAAUUGGGAAGGGUUUGAAGGUGACCCCCACGAUCAAGUGCAGUGCCUCCCGCACGCGUGACUUCCAGCCUCCACAUGCACACUUCCAAUAACUGCACACACACCCUCCAGCUCAGGCCUCUUGGAUUUCAGACACUCCAGUGGUUGAAGGGUCGCUAUGUUAGGAUCUCUGAUCUUCCUCUCUAACCAGGCUAUCCUCAGGUUCUAGUUCACUUCUGGGGGUCACCCUGAGCCAAUGUAACCCCUCUUUCCUGUGUCAAUCCUUUAGGUCUUUGAGAAGAGUGGUUGCGUUUUCUCUGACCGUGUCCCACCCUCUGGCCAAGCCUUCAGCUGAAAAGAGUCCCUCAGUUGGGGCGAGUGUAUUGAGUCCUUCAUUCAGAUGAACCCGAUACUUCAGGAGGGGCUGAGCAAUAGGCACUACAGGGGAGCCCUCACCUCCCUUGUUCUGUGCAUAAUACCUCUAUUAAUACAGCCUAAAUUUGGUCUUGCUGAUUUGGCAGCCACAUCACACUGUGCCCUUAGACUAAGUGACUGUGCUAAUAAUACACCAGACUUUUCAAGGUGUCUGUGCCUUUGGGGGUCAUGUCUGACACAUGUUAUAGAAGCAGAAACAGCCUACUAAACAAAUACUGCUGUUUUCAUAAAGUUAUGUUCUGGACCAAGAAAAUUGAGCUAUCAUUUACAAGUCCAGUGUCUCACCCUGUGCUAAGUGCUCGUAUGAGGCACUUUUGCAAUUUUACAAAUGGGAUAACUGAGGUCAGUCAGGGUAGAGCUACACAGCUACCAAGUGACAGCCAGGUGGCAAACCUAAGUUGAUUGAUUCCGAAGUCACCCUAAGUGACACUGCCUCCCUAUAGCCCCUGCUCCUUCACAUUCCCUGAGCCAGUCUCUAUCCCGCCUGUGAUUUCUUUCUCUCUCUGCUGUUUUGACAGUUAUUUGUUCCUCUGGUGAUUUGCCUGGUUAUUGCUAGACCAGCAGUUCUUAACAUGCAGUAUGAGGACUAUUUUCAGGGGAUGGUUAUAUGAAAUCAAAACUUUUUUUUUUUUUUUUUUUUUUUUUUUGAGUCAGAGUCUUGCUCUGUCACCCAGGCUAGAGUGCAGUGACAUGAUCUUGGCUCAUGGCAACCUCUGCCUCCCGGGUUCAAGUGAUUUUCCUGCCUUAAUAGCCCAAGUAGCUGCAAUUACAGAUGCCUGCCACCACAUCUGGCUAAUUUUUUUUUUUUUUUUUUUUAGUAGAGAUGGGGUUCCACCAUGUUGAUCAGGCUGGCCUUGAACUCCUGACCUCAAGUGAUCUGCCUGCCUUGGCCUCCCAAAACUGCUGGGAUUAUAAGCGUCAAAAUUAUUUUCAUAAAAACACUAGUCCGGGCACGGUGGCUCACGCCUGUAAUCCCAGCACUUUGGGAAGCCGAGGCUGGCGGAUCACCUGAGGUCAGGAGUUGAAGACCAGCCUGACCAACAUGGAGAAACCCCAUCUCUACUAAAAAUACAAAAUUAGCCGGGCAUGGUGGCACAGGCCUGUAAUCCCAGCUACUCGGGAGGCUGAGGCAGGAGAAUCACUUGAACCCGGGAGGCAGAGGUUGCAGUUAACCGAGAUCGUGCCACUCUACUCCACCCCGGGCAACAGAGCGAGACUCUAUCUCAAAAAAACAAAAACAAAAACAAAAUCUUCUGGGUUUCUCAAUUUUUAAGAGGGAAAAGGGCAUAAGACCAAAAAACUUGAGAACUGCCGUGUUAGGUGAUGGUUCUCUGUUAGAUGUGUUAGAUGACUCAGAAAAGAGUACCUGGGAAGGCCACUGGGGCACUGGUGAAGUGUCCCCUCUUGUCUGCUGGAGACAUGGUUGGAAGCUUACAUACCUGGUGCUGUGUGAUGCUUCUCCGCCAUUCUGCUCUCCAUUCCUGCUUUCAGGAAAACAAACUCUAAACUCCCUGCUUGGCUUUCAGCGUACUUGCUCCAAUUUACACCUUCAGUCUGGUCUCCCUCCCUCCCCACCGCAUUCAACAGGGCUUCGUUACCCUGGCUUUUUCCACCCCUCUAUGCAUUUGCCCUCUGGUGUGCUCUGCCUAGAAACUCUCCCCUAUUCCUCUCUCCUCAGUAGGCCAACGUUUAAAACCCACUUCAACGUGGCCAGGCGCGGUGGCUCACGCCUGUAAUCCCAGCACUUUGGGAGGCCGAGACGGGCAGAUCACGAGGUCAGGAGUUCGAGACCAGCCUGGCCAACAUGGUGAAACCCCCGUCUCUACUAUUAGCUGGGCAUGGUGGCAGCGCCUGUGGUCCCAGCUACUCGGGAGGCUGAGGCAGGAGAAUCGCUUGAAACCAAACAACGUUACAGGCUCUGUGAAGGCUUUCCUGCCCCAGAGUCAGCAGAGGAUUGUUCCCUUGUUCCACUCCCUGAACAUGUGGUACACAAACGGCUUUGCCACUGGGUGCCACUGGAUCAGGGGCCUCCCAUGACCCUCUCACUGGACCAAGGGACUCUCAUGAACACCUUCACCACCUGACACUGGACCGGGGGUCUCCUGUGACAUCCCUCACGCCCCCACUGGAUCAGGAGUCUCCCAUGGACUCUGCUGUCAAUACUUGCCCUCGACGCAAAGCAUUGCCUCUGUCUGAUUUUUUUCUUUUUUUUUUUCCAUCAUGACAGUGUGAACUCCUGGAGGGCAGGCCUGUAUGUUUUUCUUCUGGAUGUCCUUACUACCUGGCACCUAGUAGGUGCUCAAUACAUUUUGGUUGAAUAAAUGAAUCAGUGACAAGGAGUUUCAAGCCUCAGAUUAAUAAUCACCUCCAUAAAGCCUUCCCUGGUGCUUCCCUACCACAAUGAAAAAAAAAAUUACAAGUGAAUGGCUUUUAUUUUCAAAACGUUUGUUUUUCUUUUCUUUUUUUCUUUCUUUCUUUCUUUUUUUUUUUUUUUGAGAGGGUGUUUCGCUUUUGUUUCCCAGGCUGGAGUGCAAUGGCGUGAUCUCAG
rnacentral:lncRNA from 10 species